UCAUACUAACCGGGGAGUUAGCGGUGCCUUGUACCUGCAAUCCGCUAUAGCAGGGGUGAAUAGCUUUUUUGAGGGCUGUACCUGUGUCGCUGCGUUUUUGUAAAGCCGUUGAUAAGCGGGUCCUGCGCAAUUCGCAUCUUGCGAAUCAUGUCAGGUGGGGAACCAAGCAGCAUUAAGCAUUAUUUUGCGAAUGUGCCGCGGGAGUGCCUGCUUUGAGGCCGAACAUGAGCUAACGGACGGAGGUAUUGUUCGAUUUUUGGCUGUAUGG
rnacentral:SRP_RNA from 2 species